GUGAUUUCUAGGACUGUCCAACUUGAGAAUGGUGACUUUUGGCUCAAUCUCAGGUUCGUCAGCCCAUGAAAAACUUUCUUGCAUCA
rnacentral:pre_miRNA from 1 species